AUUGAACGCUGGCGGCAGGCUUAACACAUGCAAGUCGAGCGAGCGGCGGACGGGUGAGUAAUGUCUGGGAAACUGCCUGAUGGAGGGGGAUAACUACUGGAAACGGUAGCUAAUACCGCAUACCAUCAGAUGUUCCCAGAUGGGAUUAGCUAGUAGGUGGGGUAAUGGCUCACCUAGGCGACGAUCCCUAGUUGGUCUGAGAGGAUGACCAGCCACACUGGGACUGAGACACGGCCCAGACGCCUACGGGAGGCAGCAGAGGGGAAUAUUGCACGAUGGGCGCAAGCCUAAUACGGCCAGGCCGCGUGUAUGAAGAAGGCCUUAGGGUUGUAAAGUACUUUCAGCGAGGAGGCGUUACUCGCAGAAGAAGCACCGGCUAACUCCGUGCCAGCAGCCGCGGUAAUAC
rnacentral:rRNA from 1 species